rnacentral:rRNA from 1 species
GUAGGAAUACCCGCUGAACUUAAGCAUAUCAAUAAGCGGAGGAAAAGAAACCAACAGGGAUUGCCUCAGUAACGGCGAGUGAAGCGGCAACAGCUCAAAUUUGAAAUCUGGCCCUAGGCCCGAGUUGUAAUUUGCAGAGGAUGCUUUUGGUGCGGUGCCUUCCAAGUUCCCUAGAACGGGACGCCAGAGAGGGUGAGAGCCCCGUACAGUUGGACACCAAGCCUUUGUAAAGCUCCUUCGACGAGUCGAGUAGUUUGGGAAUGCUGCUCAAAAUGGGAGGUAUAUUUCUUCUAAAGCUAAAUACCGGCCAGAGACCGAUAGCGCACAAGUAGAGUGAUCGAAAGAUGAAAAGCACUUUGAAAAGAGGGUUAAACAGCACGUGAAAUUGUUAAAAGGGAAGCGCUUGUGACCAGACUUGCGUCCGGUGAAUCACCCAGCUCUCGCGGCUGGGGCACUUCGCCGGCUCAGGCCAGCAUCAGCUCGCUGUCGGGGACAAAAGCUUCAGGAACGUAGCUCUCUUCGGGGAGUGUUAUAGCCUGUUGCACAAUACCCUUCGGCGGGCUGAGGUACGCGCUCCGCAAGGAUGCUGGCAUAAUGGUCAUCAGCGACCCGUCUUGAAACACGGACCAAGGAGUCAACCUUAUGUGCGAGUGUUCGGGUGUCAAACCCCUACGCGUAAUGAAAGUGAACGCAGGUGAGAGCUUCGGCGCAUCAUCGACCGAUCCUGAUGUUCUCGGAUGGAUUUGAGUAAGAGCAUAUAGGGUUGGACCCGAAAGAAGGUGAACUAUGCGUGUAUAGGGUGAAGCCAGAGGAAACUCUGGUGGAGGCUCGCAGCGGUUCUGACGUGCAAAUCGAUCGUCAAAUAUGCGCAUGGGGGCGAAAGACUAAUCGAACCUUCUAGUAGCUGGUUUCCGCCGAAGUUUCCCUCAGGAUAGCAGUGUUGAACUCAGUUUUAUGAGGUAAAGCGAAUGAUUAGGGACUCGGGGGCGCUAUAUUGCCUUCAUCCAUUCUCAAACUUUAAAUAUGUAAGAAGCCCUUGUUGCUUAAUUGAACGUGGGCAUUCGAAUGUAUCAACACUAGUGGGCCAUUUUUGGUAAGCAGAACUGGCGAUGCGGGAUGAACCGAACGCGAGGUUAAGGUGCCAGAGUAGACGCUCAUCAGACACCACAAAAGGUGUUAGUACAUCUUGACAGCAGGACGGUGGCCAUGGAAGUCGGAAUCCGCUAAGGACUGUGUAACAACUCACCUGCCGAAUGUACUAGCCCUGAAAAUGGAUGGCGCUCAAGCGUCUCACCCAUACCUCGCCCUCAGUGUAGAAACGAUGCGCUGAGGAGUAGGCGGACGUGGAGGUCGUGAC